GCGCACCAGUCGCGAAUAGUCUACAAUGGACGAAAGUCUGAUAGUGCGACGCCGUGUGUGCGAUUAAUUCCUUCGGGAUGUAAAGCACUUUCUAUGAGAUAAAGCUCUUUAGGUUAAUAGCUUAUUGAGACGGAUAUUAUUAUAGGAAUAAGCUCCGGCUAACUCCGUGCCAGCAGCCGCGGUAAUACGGAAGGAGCGAGCGUUGUCCGGAUUUACUAGGCGUAAAGGGCUAGUAGGCGACUAAUUAAGUUAUAUGUUAAAUCCCGCGGCUCAACUGUGGUCCUGCAUGUAAUACUGGUUAGAUAGAGUACUGUAGAGGAAGGCAGAAUUCCUGGAGUAGCGGUGGAAUGCGCAGAUAUCAGGAAGAAUACCAAAAGCGAAGGCAGCCUUCUGGGCAGUUACUGACGCUGAAUAGCGAAGGUGUGGGUAGCGAACAGGAUUAGAUACCCGCGUAG
rnacentral:rRNA from 1 species